rnacentral:rRNA from 1 species
UACGUAGGGGGCGAGCGUUGUCCGGAUUUAUUGGGCGUAAAGAGCUCGUAGGUGGUUUGAUAAGUCGGAUGUGAAAUCUCCAGGCUCAACCUGGAGCUGCCAUUCGAUACUGUCAUGACUUGAGUCCGGUAGGGGACCACGGAAUUCCUGGUGUAGCGGUGAGAUGCGCAGAUAUCAGGAGGAACACCGGUGGCGAAGGCGGUGGUCUGGGCCGGAACUGACGCUGAGGAGCGAAAGCGUGGGUAGCAAACAGG